UACAGAGGUGGCAAGCGUUGUUCGGAAUUACUGGGCGUAAAGGGCGCGUAGGCGGCCUUCUAGGUCAGACGUGAAAUCCCCCGGCUUAACCUGGGAACUGCGUCUGAUACUGGGAGGCUAGAGUAUGGGAGAGGGAUGUAGAAUUCCAGGUGUAGCGGUGAAAUGCGUAGAUAUCUGGAGGAAUACCGGUGGCGAAGGCGGCAUCCUGGACCAUUACUGACGCUGAGGCGCGAAAGCUAGGGGAGCAAACGGG
rnacentral:rRNA from 1 species